GCCGCGGUAUUUUGACCGUGCAAAGGUAGCGCAAUCACUUGUCUCUUAAAUAGAGACCUGUAUGAAUGGCUAGACGAGGGCUUAACUGUCUCCCCCUUCCAGUCAGUGAAAUUGAUCUAUCCGUGCAGAAGCGGGUGUAAUUAUACAAGACGAGAAGACCCUUUGGAGCUUAAGGUACAAAGUUCAACCACGUUAAACGACUCCACGGAAAGCAAGAACUUAGUGGCAAAUGAAACUUUACCUUCUGUUGGGGCGACCACGGAGGAGAAGAAAGCCUCCGAGUGGACUGGGCUAAAUCCCAAAGCCAAGAGAUACAUCUAUAAGCCGCAGAACAUCUGACCAAAAAUGAUCCGACUGAAAAGCCGAUCAACGAACCAAGUUACCCUAGGGAUAACAGCGCAAUCCUCUCCCAGAGUCCAUAUCGACGAGGGGGUUUACGACCUCGAUGUUGGAUCAGGACAUCCUAAUGGUGCAGCCGCUAUUAAGGGUUCGUUUGUUCAACGAUUAAAGUCCUACGUGAUCU
rnacentral:rRNA from 1 species